CCAGUUUUUUUUUUCCCCCUUAGACACGUUGAGAGGCUAAGAGCAUUAAAGAGAGAGAAAAAAAAAAAAAAACAGAGAGAAAAAAGCUUAGGAAUAAAAAAAAAAAUUUCACUCUCUAUGCAUCCACCGAAUACCCUCUCCCUCUCCCUCUGCGGUUUUUUUUUUCCCCUCUUUUCCUUGAUUCAUCCUUCUUCUCCCACAAAGAGCUGCAGCAGUUCAUUGAAGUAAAUGAUUGAUUUGAGCUACGGUUCAAACUUGAGGAGAAGAAAGAUUCAACUCAGCCCAGAAUUGAAGAGGAAUUUGAUAAAGACAAGAACAAGGCAGAGCAGUAGGCAGGGGAGUUGGCUUCGUUCACCGCUGUACAUAUGGUCGGACCGAAAAAACGGCACAUACUAUUUUGGAAUUGUAAAUACAUAUAUUUUGAGAUUAAACUCAUAAACGUUGGAUGGUUAUAUAAUUAUAAGCAUAGCUAGAAAACCUGAUAAAAAUAGUGUGUUGACCGAGUCUUGUUUAAGGAAAUUUUUUAAAAUACCAUAAUUUUCGCAUAAGCGAAUAGUGAAGGUUAGUUAUUGUGGCACAUUCUUUGCAUUAAUACUAAGUGAGGUUUUCAGGAGAUAGUAUAAGGAUGUCACAAUUAGUGGUAUCAGAGUUAGAGUUUAAUCGUUUUUACAGACAACUCCAUGUGUACAAGUCACGAAGACGGCGAACCUGCUCACUGUAAGUUGUGUAUUUUGUGAAUUUUGCAUUUAUGAGUAUAUGAUUUAUGAAACUUUAACGUGUAUAGGUUAAAGAAAUAGUUGUCUUAUGUCUGGGUCGAGUUGUAGACGAGCAGAAGUUCAAUUGAGCCAAAAAUUAAACACUGAAGUGACUAGUAGAUUACAAAUAACAACCAGUGAAAUGGCAUACUACGGAGACGUGGUUGAGGCGGCGAAACCUUCAACGUUCUCAGAUGAGGAGAACACUAUACCAGUGGAAAAUUAGGCCACUCGGAUGACCAUAAUUUUUCGCGCGCACAACAUUCCCCAUAAGUUUAGGACAAUGAUAGCGGCUAUGUAUUUAAGAGAAUAUCCAGCAAUUUGGUGGGAGAUUUUGCAAGAUAG